rnacentral:tRNA from 1 species
UUCCUGGUGGCUCAGAAGGUAAAGCAUCUGCCUGCAGUGCAGGAGACCCAGGUUCAAUCCCUUGGUUGGGAA